AUACGGAGGGUCCGAGCGUUAUCCGGAAUCAUUGGGUUUAAAGGGUCCGUAGGCGGGAAUCUAAGUCAGUGGUGAAAUCUUGCAGCUCAACUGUAAAAUUGCCAUUGAUACUGGAUUUCUUGAAUUAGUGUGAAGUGGUUAGAAUGUGUAGUGUAGCGGUGAAACGCAUAGAUAUUACACAGAAUACCAAUUGCGAAGGCAGAUCACUAACACUAUAUUGACGCUGAGGGACGAAAGCGUGGGGAGCGAACAGGAUUAGAUACCCCGGUAGUCC
rnacentral:rRNA from 1 species